rnacentral:lncRNA from 1 species
UAAUGAUAAAACUUCAGUUACUCUCUGAAUUUUCCUUUUUUUGAGACUGAAUCCUGUUGCCCAGGCUGGAGUGCAAUGGCAUGAUCUCAACCGCUGCUCACUGCAACCUCUACCUCCCGGGUUCAAGCGAUUCUCUUCAGCCUCUUGUAGCUAGGACUAUAGGCACCUACCAUCACAACCAACUCAUUUUGGUAUUUUUAGUAGAGACGAAACCCCAUCCUCCCAAAGUGCUGGGAUUUCACAGGCCUGAGCCGCAGUGCCCGGCCUCCCAGGCCUUUUAUGCUUGAUGUUUUUUUCAGGGCCCUUCCCAUUGUCAUUUCACAAUCUCAUUGAAAUGUCAGCUUAUGCACUAAAUGCGUGUAAGUUGGGAAUGCCCAAUUUUGUCUAAGAAAAAAGGCCUCCCCCUCCCCCAAAUAAGCACAUUCUUUCAUUUCCUGGGGCUCACCCGAAUGUCUCACACAGGCUGUAAAACAACUACCACCACCUGGCUGGGUGCUGAGGUGGGCAGAUUACCUGAGGUCAGGAUUUCAAGACCAACCUGGCCAAUAUGGUGAAACCCCAUCUCUACUAAAAAUACAAAAAUCUAGCCGGGUGUAGUGGUGGGCUAUUGUAGUCCCAGCUAUUCGGGAGGCUGAGGCAGGGGAACUGAACCUGGGAGGCUGAGGUUGCAGUGACCCGUGAUCCUGCCACUGCACUCCAGCCUGGGUGCCAGGGUGAGACUUUCUCAAAGGAAAAAAGAAGGCUGGGCGUGGUGGUUCAUGCCUGUAAUCCCACCACUUUGGGAGGCCGAGGCGGGUGGAUCACACGGUCAGGAGUUUGAGACCAGCCUGACCAACAUAGUGAAACCCCCAUCUCUACUAAAAAUACAAAAGUUAGCCAGGUGUGGCGUGCACCUGUAAUCCCAGCUACUCAGGAGGCUGAGGCAGGAGAAUUGCUUGAACCUAGGAAGUGGAGGUUGCAGUGAACUGAGAUCAUGCCACCGCACUCCAGCCUGGGCAACGGCGAGACUUGGUCUCAAAAAAAAACACACACACAAAACUACCACCACCUACCCCAAUCGGUUACCCUUUACUUUUCAUGUGACCACCAUGACCUAUUAUGUGUUUUGUUCUUACUUCCCCCACAAGAAUGUAAGCGCUUCAAGUUUAUUCCUUAAUGUUGGAAAAAUGAAUGAAACUGCAAAUGUAGUAGAUCAGUUUUUGGGGAGGUACCAAAGACAAGUUGGUAAAAUACCUUGAUUUUGAAGUGAAAAACGAUGUUACAUUUCAAAGUAUCUUUUCGCCAGGUUAUGGCUCAGGCUUCGAGACCAGCCUGGCCAACAUGGCAAAACCCGGUCUCUACUGAAAAAAAGCGAAAAUUAGCCGGGUGUGGUAGUGUGGGCCUGUAGUCCCAGCUACUCUGAACCCUGGAGGUGGAGGUUGCAGUGAACCAAGAUCGUGCCACCUCACUCCAGCCUGGGCCUCCUAGGCUCAAGUGAUUGUUGUGCCUCAACUACCUGAGUAGCUGGGAUGACAGGUGUGUGCCACCACUCCCAGCUAAUUUUUUUUUCUGUAUUUUUAGUAGAGAUGGAGUUUCACCAUGUCAGCCAGGCUAGUCUUGAACUCCUGGCCUCAAGUGAUCCAACUGCCCUGCCCUCCCAAAGUGCUGGGAUUACAGGUGUGAGCCACUGCAUCCAGCCAAGUUCUAUUCUUUUUUUUUUUUUUUUUGAGACGGAGUUUCGCUCGUGUUGCCCAGGCUGGAAUGUAGCGGCGCAAUCUUGGCUCACUGCAACCUCCACCUCCCAGGUUCAAGCGAUUCUCCUGCCUCAGCCUUCCAAGUAGCUGGGAUUACAGGCGUGGGCCACCAUGCCUGGCUAUUUUUGUAUUUUUAGUAGAGAGGGGGUUUCACCACGUUGGCCAGGCUGGUCUCGAACUCCUGACCUCGUGAUCUGCCCACCUAGCCUCCCAAAGUGCUGGGAUUACAGGCGUGAGCCACCGCAUCCAGCUUCUUGUUCUCUCUUUUAUAUAUAAGUGCCAUUUGCUGAAUCAGAAAACUUUUUGACAAGCAUAUUAAAAGAUUUCAGUUGUAUGUAGUAGCUCAUGCCUGUAAUCCCAACACUUUGGGAAACCAAGGUGGGGGGAUUGCUUGAGUCCAGGAGUUCAAGACCGGCCUGGGCAACAUAGUGAGACCCUGUGUCUACAAUUAAAAAAAAAAAGAAAAAAAAAGUGAGCCGGGCAUGAUGGUGCAUGCCUGUAGUCCCAACCACUCAUGAGACUGAGGUGGGACGAUCGCUUGAGCCCAGGAGGUUGAGGAUGCAGUGAGCUGUGUCACACCACUGGAUUCCAGCCUGGGUGACAGGGUGAGAUGUUGUCUCAAAUAAAAUAUUAAAAAUUGGAUCACCUUAUUCAGCAUUCUGUUGUUUAGCAGUUUUGGAAUUUUAGUUGUUAGUAAAUCUUGACCUUGAGUACACGUUAUUUUGAUAUUCUGUGUGACAAAAUGGGAAGUAUGCAUGAAGCACAUCUGCCAUAAAGUAUGGAUGUCUAGAUUUUUUUUUCCCUAGAAAAAGUAGUUACAAUUGUUUGAGAUACAAGCUGAACUAGCUGCUUGUUUUCACAGAACAUUUUUAGUUUGAAAAAACCUGACAAAUUGAUUAUUCAUAUUUUAGGGGUAAUUUUGGCAGAGAUUUGCUCAAAAAAGAACAAGUCAGCUUGGAAAAAACUGAUGGCAUUUGUUGCCAAUGAUAAAACUCAAGCUUCCAAAUGAAACCUAAAAUUUUGGAAGGCUUGUAUACACUUCUGUGCCCUUAUAGCUUCCUCAGACUUAGACUUUUGUAAUGGGAUUGGUGGUAAUAUUAAUUAAUGGUAUUUUGUUUUAGAUAUUGUAUAUCAAAAUGUGUCAACAUUUGGAAGAUUUGCAUAACUCAGUGAACCAAUAUUUUCCAAAUGAUCAAUCACUGGACUGGUGUUACAAAUAUCACACAUAGGUAAAAGUUCUAUUUAAAUACAAGGUACACCAAUGGACUUUAGAAAAGCUCAUCAAUACGAUUUCAGAAUCCACAUUGCAACUAGCCUUUAAGGAACUCUACUACUUGUCAUAUUUUGGUGUGGUAUCAAAGAGAGUAUCCAUAAUUAUCAGACAAAGCUAUUAAAAUACUCCUCCCUUUUCCAACUUUAUAUAUGAGUGGGGUCAGAUUUUCUUCACAGACUUCAACCAAAACAGCAUAUAACAACAGAUAGGAUACAGAAGCAGAUAUCAGAAUCUAGUGUCUUCUAUUAAGCCAGAAAUAAAAAAUAUUUGCAGAAAUAUAAAACAAUGUUACUCUUCUAUUUUUUUUUUGAAAAUAAUUAUUUUUAAAAUAAAAACAUGGCUGAGUGUGGUGGCUCACGCCUUUGUAAUCCCAGAACUUUGGGAGGCUGAGUAGAAGAAAACAAUUUCAAAAUCACUGAUCAAGACCUUGUUCUCAUUUUGUCUUUUUUUGAAAUGGAGUCUUGUUCUGUUGCCAGGCUGGAGUGCAGUGGUGUAACCUCGGCUCACUGCAAUCUCCACCUCCUGGGUUCAAGUGAUUCUCCUGCCUCAGCCUCCUGAGUAGCUGGGACUACAGGUAUGUGCCACCACACCCAGCUAAUUUUUGUAUUUUUAGUAGAGAUGGGGUUUCACCAUGUUGGCCAGGAUGGUCUCAGUCUCUUGACCUUGUGAUCUGUCUGCCUCAGCCUCCCAAAGUGCUGGGAUUAUAG